rnacentral:rRNA from 1 species
AUUGAACGCUGGCGGCAUGCCUUACACAUGCAAGUCGAACGGCAGCACGGACUUCGGUCUGGUGGCGAGUGGCGAACGGGUGAGUAAUGUAUCGGAACGUACCUUUCAGUGGGGGAUAACGUAGCGAAAGUUACGCUAAUACCGCAUAUUCUGUGAGCAGGAAAGCAGGGGAUCGCAAGACCUUGCGCUGAUUGAGCGGCCGAUAUCAGAUUAGCUAGUUGGUGAGGUAAAGGCUCACCAAGGCGACGAUCUGUAGCGGGUCUGAGAGGAUGAUCCGCCACACUGGAACUGGGACACGGUCCAGACUCCUACGGGAGGCAGCAGUGGGGAAUUUUGGACAAUGGGGGCAACCCUGAUCCAGCCAUGCCGCGUGAGUGGAGAAGGCCUUCGGGUUGUAAAGCUCUUUCGGCCGGGAAGAAAUCGCAUAGGUUAAUACCCUGUGUGGAUGACGGUACCGGAAUAAGAAGCACCGGCUAACUACGUGCCAGCCGCCGCGGUAAAAC